rnacentral:misc_RNA from 1 species
UCCUGGUUUCCCAGGCAGUCCCAUCAGAGUGCCUUACUCACGUAAGUAGCAACUGACGGCAAGGGUUGCGCUCGUUAGAGGACUUAACCCAACAUCUCACGACACGAGCUGACGACAGCCAUGCAGCACCUGUGCAAUUGUUCUGACCGAAGCCAGAAAAGUCAUGUUUCCAUGACGGUCAAAAGCAUGUCAAGCCUAGGUAAGGUUCCUCGCGUAGUGUCGAAUUAAACCACAUGUUCCACCGCUUGUGCGGGCCCCCGUCAAUUUCUUUGAGUUUUAGUCUUGCGACCGUAAUCCCCAGGUGGAUCACUUAACGCGUUAGCUACGACACUAAUUCUGUCAAACAGAACUAACGUCUAGUGAUCAUCGUUUACAGCGUGGACUAC